rnacentral:rRNA from 1 species
UACGGAGAGACUAACAGGAUUCCCCUAGUAACUGCGAGUGAAGCGGGAAAAGCUCAAAUUUAAAAUCUGGCGGUCUUCUGGCCGUCCGAGUUGUAGUCUGGAGAAGUGUUAUCCGCGUCGGACCGUGUACAAGUCUCCUGGAAUGGAGCGUCAUAGAGGGUGAGAAUCCCGUCCAUGACACGGACGACCGAUGCUAUGUGAGGCACUCUCAAAGAGUCGAGUUGUUUGGGAAUGCAGCUCAAAAUGGGUGGUAAAUUCCAUCUAAAGCUAAAUAUUGGCGAGAGACCGAUAGCGAACAAGUACCGUGAGGGAAAGAUGAAAAGCACUUUGGAAAGAGAGUUAAACAGUACGUGAAAUUGUUGAAAGGGAAACGCUUGAAGUCAGUCGCGUUCCGUGGAACUCAGCCUUGCUUCGGCCUGGUGUACUUUCUGCGGGACGGGUCAACAUCAGUUUUGGCCGGUGGAAAAAGGCAGAGGGAAUGUAGCGCCGUUUCGGCGGCGUGUUAUAGCCCUUUGUCGAAUACACUGGC